GCAGUCUGCAACCCGACUGCACGAAGCUGGAAUCGCUAGUAAUCGCGGAUCAGCAUGCCGCGGUGAAUACGUUCCCGGGUCUUGUACACACCGCCCGUCACACCAUGGGAGCCGGAAAUGCCCGAAGCCUGUGACCCAACCCGCAAGGGGGGGAGCAGUCGAAGGCGGGGCCGGUGACUGGGGUGAAGUCGUAACAAGGUAUC
rnacentral:rRNA from 1 species